CAGAUAAAAACCCAAGCAGUUCAGCUAAACGUCCACAUGGAGGCGCUGCAGGAUUUCUUCAGAGCAGAAACUCAGGCUCCACAGCAGUGAAGAGGAGGAGGAACUCGAUGAUGAAGAGCUGAACCGUUCCUGAUCCUGCAGCUCGUCGUUAAUCGUGAUUCUGUUCAUCGGUGGAGAAAAACGCUUCUCGCCGUGUGAAACGACCCGAGUCUGAACCUUCUCAUCAGCUGCAGGACUCAUUGAUCCAGAUCUGACAGCAGGAGGAAGAGCAAGAGGAGGAGGUGGCGUUUCAGAAACGGCGUAGGGAGGUGACAUGUUGGAGGAAGUCCAGCAGCAUCCACGUGCAGACGGAGGAAGAGGAGGAGACGUCAGGUGACAAACAAAAGAGACAACCGGAGAACUGCAGGAUCCCAUUUUCUGAAAAAAAUCUGAAUUUUCUCGUCGUUAUUAAACACCACUACCAAAUACAUUGUGUGUGUUUGUCUGUUAGCAAAAUAUCUAUGGGAUAAAUCUUG